GCUGGGUGGAUUAGUGGCGAACGGGUGAGUAACACGUGAGCAACGUGCCCAUAACUCUGGGAUAACCUCCGGAAACGGUGGCUAAUACUGGAUAUCUAACACGAUCGCAUGGUCUGUGUUUGGAAAGAUUUUUUGGUUAUGGAUCGGCUCACGGCCUAUCAGCUUGUUGGUGAGGUAAUGGCUCACCAAGGCGACGACGGGUAGCCGGCCUGAGAGGGUGACCGGCCACACUGGGACUGAGACACGGCCCAGACUCCUACGGGAGGCAGCAGUGGGGAAUAUUGCACAAUGGGCGAAAGCCUGAUGCAGCAACGCCGCGUGAGGGAUGACGGCCUUCGGGUUGUAAACCUCUUUUAGUAGGGAAGAAGCGAAAGUGACGGUACCUGCAGAAAAAGCACCGGCUAACUACGUGCC
rnacentral:rRNA from 1 species